rnacentral:precursor_RNA from 15 species
UUAAGUGAAAUUUGAAUAAAUUUAGUGCUGGGUUGGCAAAAGGUGGUACCAUGUAACAUUUUAACCCAUAGUACGACCCAUGCCGGCUCAGUAAUAAAUUACAAUUCGCCAGCAAGUGAA